rnacentral:rRNA from 1 species
UACAGAGACUGCAAGCGUUAUUCGGAUUCACUGGGCGUAAAGGGCUCGUAGGCGGCCAACUAAGUCGGAUGUGAAAUCCCCCAGGCUCAACCUGGGAACUGCAUCCGAUACUGGAUGGCUUGAAUUCGGGAGAGGGAUGCAGAAUUCCAGGUGUAGCGGUGAAAUGCGUAGAUAUCUGGAGGAAUACCGGUGGCGAAGGCGGCAUCCUGGACCGACAUUGACGCUGAUGAGCGAAAGCUAGGGGAGCAAACGGGG